rnacentral:rRNA from 1 species
GAUGGACGCUGGCGGCGUGCCUAAUACAUGCAUGUCGAGCGAACAGAUGAGGAGCUUGCUCCUCUGACGUUAGCGGCGGACGGGUGAGUAACACGUGGAUAACCUACCUAUAAGACUGGGAUAACUUCGGGAAACCGGAGCUAAUACCGGAUAAUAUAUUGAACCGCAUGGUUCAAUAGUGAAAGACGGUUUUGCUGUCACUUAUAGAUGGAUCCGCGCCGCAUUAGCUAGUUGGUAAGGUAACGGCUUACCAAGGCAACGAUGCGUAGCCGACCUGAGAGGGUGAUCGGCCACACUGGAACUGAGACACGGUCCAGACUCCUACGGGAGGCAGCAGUAGGGAAUCUUCCGCAAUGGGCGAAAGCCUGACGGAGCAACGCCGCGUGAGUGAUGAAGGUCUUCGGAUCGUAAAACUCUGUUAUUAGGGAAGAACAAAUGUGUAAGUAACUAUGCACGUCUUGACGGUACCUAAUCAGAAAGCCACGGCUAACUACGUG